rnacentral:rRNA from 1 species
CGGUGUUCAACUGGCGUGCCCGCGGGACGUCCUGCCGGUGAGCUCAGCCCGCGAGGGCGGCUCAACUUGAAAUCCCAUCGCGGUGCUCUUCAUUGAGUGUCGAGGUGGGCCGGCACGAUUACUUUUGAACAAAUUAGAGUGCUUAAAGCAGGCUAAAAUUUUGCCUGAAUACUGUGUAUAUGGAAUAAUGGAAUAGGACCUCGGUUCUAUUUUGUUGGUUUUCGGAACCCCGAGGUAAUGAUUAAUAGGAACGGAUGGGGGCAUUCGUAUUGCGACGUUAGAGGUGAAAUUCUUGGAUCGUCGCAAGACGGACUAAAGCGAAAGCAUUUGCCAAAAACGCUUUCAUUGAUCAAGAACGAAAGUUAGAGGUUCGAAGGCGAUCAGAUACCGCCCUAGUUCUAACCAUAAACUAUGCCAGCUAGCGAUCCGCCGACGUCCCUCUGAUGACUCGGCGGGCAGCUUCCGGGAAACCAAAGCUUUUGGGUUCCGGGGGAAGUAUGGUUGCAAAGCUGAAACUUAAAGGAAUUGACGGAAGGGCACCACCAGGAGUGGAGCCUGCGGCUUAAUUUGACUCAACACGGGAAACCUCACCAGGCCCAGACACUGGGAAGGAUUGACAGAUUGAGAGCUCUUUCUUGAUUCAGUGGGUGGUGGUGCAUGGCCGUUCUUAGUCGGUGGAGCGAUUUGUCAGGUUAAUUCCGAUAACGGACGAGACUCUGACCUGAUAACUAGACGCACUUGCGGCAUCUCAAAGGUCCGCCGGCGGCUGGCUUUGCGCCCGUCGUCGCGCGCGAUUUUUACUGCCGGCGUACAAUAAAUUCUUCUUAGAGGGACAAGUGG